rnacentral:pre_miRNA from 1 species
UGAUGAUGAUGAUGAUGAUGAUGAUGAUGAUGAUGAUGGUGAUGGUGAAGGUGGUGGUAAUCAUAAUCAUCAUCAUCAUCCUCAUCAUCCACAUAA